CCUGAGGCAGCAGUGAGGAAUAUUGGUCAAUGGCCGGAAGGCUGAACCAGCCAAGCCGCGUGAAGGACGAAGGUGCCAAGCAUUGUAAACUUCUUUUGUCAAGGGACAAAAUCAGGCUCGAGAGCCUGACCGAGGGUACUUGAAGAAAAAGCAUCGGCUAACUCCGUGCCAGCAGCCGCGGUAAUACGGAGGAUGCGAGCGUUAUCCGGAUUUAUUGGGUUUAAAGGGUGCGUAGGCGGACUGUUAAGUCAGCGGUAAAAGCCCGGGGCUCAACCCCGGCGAGCCGUUGAAACUGGCUGUCUUGAGAUGUCGAGAGGUAUGCGGAAUGCGCAGUGUAGCGGUGAAAUGCUUAGAUAUCACGCAGAACCCCGAUUGCGAAGGCAGCCUGCCAAGCCAUGACUGACGCUGAUGCACGAAAGCGUGGGGAUCAAACAGGAUUAGAUACCCUGGUAGUC
rnacentral:rRNA from 1 species